CCACUCCAUCUCCUCCCAACCCGACCCCCCACCCCCCAACCGCCGAAAAAAUCUUAUCACCUUCAGAAAGACGGUGGGAGAUUUACUUAUGGAGAAAGUUUAAAUGAGAAAUGAAAGGAAACUCGUGUGCGGAACUGAACGGAGAAAUAAGCUGAGUAUAUUUCUCUCUUAAAAUGAGCAAAAUAGAUCGAGGACCGCGCGGAUGGAAGCGAAAGUUGAAGCUUUGGAAACGAUGGAAGAAUUCAGCAAGGAAGGAGGUGGAGAAUAAUUGAAAGAAAGCAGACGUGUUUUGAAUUAGAGAGAGAAAAAAAAAACGGGAGCUACUCAAAAGUGAAAAUGUGACCGUGGUGAAAUGUGGCGCGGUUAAAAUCCAGCAAAGACGCGAGAGAAGUGAAGCACAUAUCGUGGGACUGAAGCUGCCGAUAUUCUGUUAAAUAGACACUGGGACCAUGUCACGUUUAUUUCAAUUCUCAACAACACAAAUUUCACUCGGGCAGCCAGAAUCAGGAAGGGAGCAGGCUGGCGCGUAUUCCCCGCGGUGUUACAGCAAGUUGCAAGAGGGCCAGAGAAGAGGAAAGGAAUGAAUUGCUUGGGGGGUGGGGGGAGAGAAACACCCCGGACUACAUAAAAGAUGAAGAACCUACCAUAAAACACGUACAAAGCACUGUUAAUUCCCAAGGUUACUCAUUGUGAUUUAAGAAUUCCGCCUUCAGACUGUUUCAAAUAAGAAGAACUUUCUGGAGUCUAUGUGGUCAUACACACGUUGAUGCAGGAGCCUUGUCUUUAUUGUGGUCGCUGUAUACUUCAUCCGCUUGUGCCAUUGCUGUUUGCCCACUGCUUUGCCUGAAAACACAAUAAAAGCAUCAACUCUU